AGAAACCAACAGGGAUUGCCUCAGUAACGGCGAGUGAAGCGGCAACAGCUCAAAUUUGAAAUCUGGCCUCUGCGGGGUCCGAGUUGUAAUUUGGAGAGGAUGUUUCGGGCACGGUCCGGGCUUAAAUUUCUUGGAACAGAAUGUCACAGAGGGUGAGAAUCCCGUCUGGAGUCCGGACACGGCCCAUGUGAAACUCCUUCGACGAGUCGAGUUGUUUGGGAAUGCAGCUCUAAAUGGGUGGUAAAUUUCAUCUAAAGCUAAAUACUGGCCAGAGACCGAUAGCGCACAAGUAGAGUGAUCGAAAGAUGAAAAGCACUUUGAAAAGAGAGUUAAACAGUACGUGAAAUUGUUGAAAGGGAAGCGCUGUCAACCAGACUUGCGCGUCGGGGUUCCCCCUUGCUUCUGCCUGGGUUACUCCCCGGCGUUCAGGCCAACAUCGGUUUCGGGGGUUGGUUAAAGGCCCUGGGAAUGUAUCUACCCUCCGGGGUAGACUUAUAGCCCAGGGUGUCAUGCGACCUCCCGGGACCGAGGAACGCGCUUCGGCUCGGAUGUUGGCGUAAUGGUUGUCAGCGACC
rnacentral:rRNA from 1 species